GCGUCCUUAGCUCAGUUGGUAGAGCGCUUUUUCCAAUUUUGAGGUCGUUGGUUCGAAUCCAACAGGACGCUCCA
rnacentral:tRNA from 1 species